CGACCGCCGGCGACACUGGGCGCGCUGGAGCCCGAGCUGAGCCGAGCCCGAGUCGCCGCCGCCGCCGCCGCUCCCAGGCUUUCUCCCAGCGCGCCGGCCCGGGUGUGGGGGGCAGCGGGCCGGAGGGGCGCGGGCGGACGAGGGGCGCGCGCUGCGAUCGGCGCCGGAGACCGGACCCUCGGCCGCGAGGGUACGAGUUGAAUGGGAAACAGAAUAUCUGUUUUAUAAAUAAUCGUGGAAGAUAAAAGUAAACAAAACAUAGUCCAUGCAAAAGACAAGUUGGAAAGGAAACAAUGAGGAAUUAUUGAAAACAAGAAAGUAUAAAGUCCAAUUACGUGAGGGUGUUGCUGGCCUCUGCUCUUCUAAGACUUCAGCUGCAGAACCCACUCGUGAACCCUCCUAGGGCUCUGGAGAAGAUCUAAUGGGAGAUUGAGUGUGGAAACACUUUGGAAACCAUGAAGCACUCCGUAAAAGGG